rnacentral:sRNA from 1 species
CCAUGUUGGUUAGGCUGGUCUCGAGCUCCUGAUCUCAGGUGAUCUGCCCGCCUCGGCCUCCCCAAGUGCUGAGAUUACAGGUGUGAGCCACCGUGCCCAGCCAAAAGCAACAUUUUUAUUUGAAGGCAUAUUUACAAAAAUUCUUGAUAGUUACCAACUUAAACAUCAAUACACCUUUGUGUAUUUCAUCACUUUCAGUUUUCAUUUAUAUUUACUAAAAGAAUUCUCAAAUUUAAUAUUCUUAGGCUGUCAUGGAAGUUCAGACUUUGAGACCAUCUUACUGGAAGUUCCUUUUAAGACUCACCAAGGGCAAAUUUGCUGUCAUGAACCGAAAAGUCCUUGAUGUUUUUGGUACUGGUGCAUCUAAACACUUUCAGGAUUUCAUCCCCAGGUUGGAUCCAAGAUACACAACUGUAACACCAGAGUUGCCCACAGAGUUUUCCUGAAGAUGACUGUAAUUUAUUAAUGUGACUAAAUGUUUCAUCUUGAAGAGUUAAUUAUGUUGAACACAAAGGAGGGGGCCCAAGCUUGAACUUCAGUGUUAUUUCAGUUAGAGAUACUCUUUUCAUUUGUUUUGUUUUUCUUAUGAAUCAGAAAUUCAGAAGCUUUUUAGGAAGAUGUUGCUUAAUAAUUAAGCUUCCUCCAUAGCCAGAAUAAGAUUCUGGAUCACUGUAGUGACUGACAUUAUUAUAUAUUAUUGAUCAAAUUAUGUCCACAAGCAAUAUUAUAUAAUCUACGUAGAAGUGUAAUAACAACCAAGAGUACACUUAAAAUUACUUUAAAAGAUGUCUUUAGUUCAUUCCAAUAUAAUUCUUGAUUAAAAUUAGGAUUAUUUCUACAUUUUAGGAUUUACAAAGGAUCACGGGUACAUGGAUUUGGUCUAUAUAUUUUUUUAAAGUUUUGAAUUGGUAUCUGUAGUAGUGGAAUGUUAUAGAUUUGAAGUAACUCUCCACGGACAGUGCUGCUUUCGUGUAGAGCAAUUUAAUUGGAGAAGUGGCCAUUCUUACUUCAGGGAUGCAAAGAUGGGUCUCAUACCAUUUGGAUAAAUGUCGUGGUAUCCAUGCUUUUUUUCAACUAAUAACAUCAUCUCUCUUCAUGACCAGUUAAUUGGGCUAUUUGGCAGCCCAGUGAACCUAUGUGCUAAUGGCAAG